GAUGAACGCUGGCGGCGUGCUUAAUACAUGCAAGUCGAACGGAGAUAGUAGCAAUAUUAUCUUAGUGGCGAACGGGUGAGUAACGCGUUGGUGACCUGCCCCGAAGAGAGGGAUAGCAGUUCGAAAGGACUGAUAAUACCUCAUGUGGUUGUUGGUUUUAGAAUCUGACAACUAAACGGAUUUAUUCGCUUCGGGAGGGGCCUGCGUCACAUCAGCUAGUUGGUAGGGUAAUGGCCUACCAAGGCGAUGACGGGUAGGGGACCUGAGAGGGUGGCCCCCCACAAUGGAACUGAAACACGGUCCAUACACCUACGGGUGGCAGCAGUAGGGAAUAUUGGUAAUCUGCGAAAGCGGGAACCAGCAACGCCGCGUGCACGAUGAAGGCCUUCGGGUCGUAAAGUGCUUUUAGAGAGGAUGAGGAAGGACAGUACUUUCUGAAUAAGCCUCGGCUAACUACGUGCCAGCCGCCGCGGUAAUAC
rnacentral:rRNA from 1 species